rnacentral:rRNA from 1 species
ACAAGGUUUCCGUAGGUGAACCUGCGGAAGGAUCAUUGUCAAAAGUCACACUUUAGAACGACCCGUGAACAAGUAUUGACAAUCGGGUGCUGGGAUGAUGGGCUCAUGCCUUUGAUUCCAUGCUCCUUGCUGACGGACAUUUGUAUCGCCUCUAACGGGGCCUUGUAAGUGUCUCGAUGGCACCAAAACAAACCCCGGCACGGAAUGUGCCAAGGAAAACAAAACAUAAGAAGGGUGUGGCUCGUGAUGCUUCGUUUUCGAAAUGCAUUUGGGCCUUCUCUUUUUUGAAAUUACAAACGACUCUCGGCAACGGAUAUCUUGGCUCACGUAUCGAUGAAGAACGUAGCAAAAUGCGAUACUUGGUGUGAAUUGCAGAAUCCCGUGAACCAUCGAGUUUUUGAACGCAAGUUGCGCCCAAAGCCAUUUGGUCGAGGGCACGUCUGCCUGGGCGUCAUGCAUCGUAUCGCCUCCCCUUCAUGUAUUGUCUAAUGGCAAGCAUGUUAUCGGGGGCGGAGAUUGGUCUCCCGUGCCCAUGGUGUGGUUGGCCUAAAUAGAAGUCCUUUUCGAUUGAAGCACGACUAUAGGUGGUUGACAAGACCUUCGUAUGGAGUCGUGUGUUACAAAUCAUAAGGAAUAAACUUCAUAAAAGACCCUGAUGCAUUGUCGUGUUGAUGCAUCGAAUGCGACCCCAGGUCAGACGGGACUACCCGCUGAGUUUAAGCA